rnacentral:lncRNA from 1 species
GUGGAGCUUGGGGCUUAACUAACUUCAAGUGCUUACCCGAGGUUGCAUUCACUGCAGACGUACUAAGAUCGGAUGACACCUACUACAAGUUGGUGAGGAACAAAUACACUUGGGAUGAAGCUAAGUCAAACUGUGAAUGACUUGGUGGAUAUUUGGCCGACAUAAAAUCACAACAAGAACAAGAUGUAAUAGAAAAGCUUUUUUUCUGGUAUUAGCCGAAGAGUUUGGAUAGGUGGCAAAAGCAAGCAGAACCUGGAGGAUACGUUUGUAUGGUUAGACGGUUCAGUCGUGAACAGUGAUUACGUAAACUGGAAAUCUGGUCAGCCUUACAACCCCGACGGAGGAAUAAGCUGUAUGGAUAUGAUUCGUAAUUGGAAUUACCAGUGGAAUGACGGGGCUUGUUAUCGUAAAUUCGACAGUGUUUGUGAAUUCAGAUAAAGCGUUCAGAAACAUCAGCAUAUAUUUUGUGUGAUUACUUUAUUAACACUGACAAAGUGUACUUCAUAGUUUUACUUCCAGUACAUAGUUACAUAAUUAGACAACUAAUUUUGAAAAUAAAGCUCAGUAAUAAAAUGUGAGAAAAUUAAACAUGUGCUCUGUUUAGUGUGAGUUUUGUACAACAGUCAAUUUGAAUAAUAAGUUUCAGUGGAUAUUUUUUCAUUUUGCUUAUAUUCUAUACAUACGCUGACAAUUUAUACAAGCAAAACAAUUUGAUAAUAUUGAAAAUGAGUUUAGUUACGAACUGAGCCUCAGAAGAAUUUACUUUGAACGCGUUUCUCCUCAGUUCAAAUUUAUUUUAUAUUAUUUUCAACUCGGACAUAAACUCUGACAUUCAAAUUAAACCUACUGUAAAGUUUCGAUAUUUAAACUAUUACUGAGACUAUGAUACGUUUGCUCCGCAUAUUUGUUGUUGGCAAAUACACUAGAAAACGUACAGCAAGUUAUUGACCGUUCAAAUAUAAUGCAAUUCGAAUACACAAUUCCAAGAGACUGACAUUAACUGUACAAAUGCAAGAUAGCAACAGCGCUACUUGACCUUGUUUAAUAAACUUAAAAUGUGUCCAUGUCUUGAUAAAGGUGCACAUAAUUUGAAUAAUAUUAGUAUAUUUGCAUUUGGUAUUUCUCAAGAAUAUUGCGGAUUAAUCGAUAGAAAUCGGUCGUCCGAGGCUUAAACAUGUGAUUUUAACAUUUUAAUUAUCACAGUGGAAAUUACUGGAAUUAAAACAUUUUCUGUGUCUUA